rnacentral:rRNA from 1 species
GACGAACGCUGGCGGCGUGCUUAACACAUGCAAGUCGAACGGAAAGGCCCUGCUUUUGUGGGGUGCUCGAGUGGCGAACGGGUGAGUAACACGUGAGUAACCUGCCCUUGACUUUGGGAUAACUUCAGGAAACUGGGGCUAAUACCGGAUAGGAGCUCCUGCUGCAUGUUGGGGGUUGGAAAGUUUCGGCGGUUGGGGAUGGACUCGCGGCUUAUCAGCUUGUUGGUGGGGUAGUGGCUUACCAAGGCUUUGACGGGUAGCCGGCCUGAGAGGGUGACCGGCCACAUUGGGACUGAGAUACGGCCCAGACUCCUACGGGAGGCAGCAGUGGGGAAUAUUGCACAGUGGGCGGAAGCCUGAUGCAGAAACGCCGCGUGCGGGAUGACGGCCUUCGGGUUGUAAACCGCUUUCGCCUGUGACGAAGCGUGAGUGACGGUAAUGGGUAAAGAAGCACCGGCUAACUACGUG